GACGAACGCUGGCGGCGUGCCUAACACAUGCAAGUCGAGCGGAGUCGAUCGACGGAAGCCUUCGGGCGGAAGAUGGUUGACUUAGCGGCGGAUGGGUGAGUAACGCGUGGGCGACCUGCCUCGAAGACCGGGAUAACAGCCCGAAAGGGCUGCUAAUACCGGAUGUGGUCAAGGAUCCGCAUGGAUUUUUGAUUAAAGGGGAAACCCGUUUCGAGAUGGGCCCGCGUCCUAUCAGCUAGUUGGUGAGGUAAAAGCUCACCAAGGCGAAGAUGGUUAGGGGUUUUGAGAGAGAGAUCCCCACAUUGGAACUGAGAUACGGUCCAGACUCCUACGGGAGGCAGCAGUAGGGAAUAUUGGGCAAUGGGCGAAGCCUGACCCAGCCAUGCCGCGUGAAGGAAGACGGCCUUAUGGGUUGUAAACUUCUUUACUAUGCGACUAACUAGAUUUACGAGAUAAUUCUAUAGAAUGUAGCAUAGCAAAAAAGCAACCGGCUAAACUCCGUGCCAGCAGCCCG
rnacentral:rRNA from 1 species